AAGCUCGUAGUUGAAUUUCGGGAUUGACGUGAUGGUCAUGCCUUAAGGGUAUGAACUGUUACUGUUGAUUUCUCACCUUCUGGAGAAACUUGAUGUCCUUUAUUGGGUGUCUUGCGGAUCCAGGACCUUUACCUUGAAAAAAAUUAGAGUGUUUAAAGCAGGCAUUUUUGCUCGAAUACAUUAGCAUGGAAUAAUAGAAUAGGACGGCAUGGUUCUAUUUUGUUGGUUUCUAGGAUCACCGUAAUGAUUAAUAGGAUAGUUGGG
rnacentral:rRNA from 1 species